CCUGGGGGCAGUGGUUUAUCGAUCUAUUCCCUGCCUUGUGUAGCUGUGCUGAUCCGAUGUGCUGUCUCUUAAUGAUACAACGCAGGAAUCGAUCGAUAAACCUCUGCAUCCAGA
rnacentral:pre_miRNA from 1 species